rnacentral:rRNA from 1 species
GACGAACCGUGCGAACGUUAUUCGGAAUCACUGGGCUUAAAGCGCGUGUAGGCGGAUGGGAACGUCGGUACCUGAAAGCCCCCGGCUCAACCGGGGAAGGGGGGCCGAAACGACCUGUCUGGAGGGACGUAGGGGGACCUGGAACUUCCGGUGGAGCGGUGAAAUGCGUUGAGAUCGGAAGGAACGCCCGUGGCGAAAGCGAGGUCCUGGACGUUUACUGACGCUGAGACGCGAAAGCUAGGGGAGCGAACAGG